rnacentral:misc_RNA from 1 species
ACAUAGCCUUGCCAAGCCCUGACUCACUUCCGCUCUCGCCCUCUUCUCCCCUCUGCCCACCACCCGCCUCGCUCCUCGUCAGCUGUGCUGCGCAGUGUCGACCGCCUUAUCGCUCUUUCUCCCGUUCACAUCCGUGUUGCCCUUGUUUGCUUUCGGCGUUGCGGAGCCGCGCAAAUGGCGUGCAACAUCAGUAUUGCCAUCUACAUCAUCCUCCAGUUCAUCGCGUUCUUUUUCGUGCUGGUGGGUACGCCGCUCGACAUGUUUCGCGGCACGAACAAGGAGGUUGCGUUCUCGCAUUUCUGCUUGACGUUGUGGGGCGCAAAAUGGGGCUGCUCCAACAGUUCGUACUUUCUCAAGUCGGACGAGGUGUGGACGAAUUGUACGGGCCGCCGCAACCGCUUCCGCGCUGCUCAGGCAUUGGCUGUGAUCUCCAUCUUCCUGUAUGGCGCGGCGUUCGUCUUGGGCAUCUUUUUUCUGCUCUUCUGCCCUUUCUUUCGCUGGGUGUGCCUGGUUCUCAACAUCGUUGGCAUCUUCUCCUUGGGCAUUGUCUGGGCGGCCGUGGUGUUGACUCACUACGCAGAUGAGGAUGACCAUUGCCCCAAGAUGGAGCGCUUCUUUAAGUUGGGCGUCGGCUUCGCUUUCUUCUUGGUGGCCUGGUGCCUGGAUAUCAUCAACAUCUUCUUAUUGCUGAUCCGGUGCGAGGAUCAGAAGUUUGGCGAGAGUGGGAAUCCGGGAUUAUAUACAACAGGCGGACAGGAGGAACUGAAGUGAAGGAGGUGGCGGGCAAACUACUUCGGCUCCGCGGGCUUCUCCGUACAGACGCCAUGGGGUGGGGGAUCCGGCGGAGCUGAUGUCUGCGCGAGAAGGGAGGGAAGACACGGACUCUCGUCGCUGCUUCUCGCCGCCUCACCUCUCGCGCUGCCGUCUCUCGCGUGUGUGCGUCCUCCCACGCGCGUCUGCUUGGGGGGCUUUUCGGCUUCCUCGCGUGCAAGGUAACCUGCGCUGUGUGGUGGGCAACGCACGCCUGGCGCCGGCAGGCCCACCCACGCCCCGUUCCCCCCCCCCUGAGCCCCUCGCCCUCGCUGCCGUGUCGGAGUCGCCCGUCUGACGCUCGCCCGGCGCUCCGUUGGCGAUGUGAAGGAGCGAAGGACGACGCGGGACGGUGACACGUGCGCUGCAGGCCUGGAAACGGCGGCGUGGAGGGGGAGCGAAGGAGGGGCAGGUGACCGAGGUGGACACGGAGGACAAACGUGGCGGUGUGGAGAAACGGACGCCCUCGCACGGAGGACGGGAGGCGCCACGCCACGCUGCAUCGGUCGCCCGCCCCCCUCCACACCCCGCAGUCGCGAUGGCGCGUCUUCCUGGUGUGUCUCCCUCGCGCCGCCUUUGGCCCCCGUCGCUGCCGCUGCGACUCCCCCGCGCCCCUGGCGGCACACCCGCGAGGGGAAGAGGCAGCACAGCGGCGCGAAGACGCAGGCCGAGCACAGUCUCCCCCGCACCCCCCCUCCACACGCACGCGCAUAUGCUGCCGUUUUUUUUGUUUCUCUUUCCGUGUUUUCGCUUCGUUUGACAUUCGCAUGUUUCUUUUGAUUUCUCUCGUUUUCGUCUCUCUCCCUAUGCAGAGAAGAGCCGCAUGGACGUGUGCGUGUGCGUGCCGCCCUGCCAUUUUCCCGUUGUGUCUCCGUGCCGCUGCCCUGCUCCUCGUCUUCCCCGCGCCCCUGGCGGCACACCCGCGAGGGGAAGAGGCAGCACAGCGGCGCGAAGACGCAGGCCGAGCACAGUCUCCCCCGCACCCCCCCUCCGCACGCACGCGCAUAUGCUGCCGUUUUUUUUGUUUCUCUUUCCGUGUUUUCGCUUCGUUUGACAUUCGCAUGUUUCUUUUGAUUUCUCUCGUUUUCGUCUCUCUCCCUAUGCAGAGAAGAGCCGCAUGGACGUGUGCGUGUGCGUGCCGCCCUGCCAUUUUCCCGUUGUGUCUCCGUGCCGCUGCCCUGCUCCUCGUCUUCCCCGCCCCCUCCCUGCGCGCGUGUGUGUGCGAGGGCGGCUGAUCGAGGGGACGACGAGGUGGAGAGCAGCCGCGGCACCGCAGCGCUGGGGAUACAUGGGGAGUGUGCAGGAGCAGCGGAGGAGAGGCACGCACACGCACUCUGGCAAGGGAGCGAUGACGCGGAGGCCGCAGGGGAAUACGCAGCGGAGCGAGUGGGUACGGAGGCGGAGCGGAGGCGAGGCAGUGUUGCUUCUCUGUUCGCCCCGCUUGCGUUCGACUCGAGUGUGUCUGCGUGUGCGUCCCCUGCGGCCCUCGGGCCCCUCGCCUCUCUUGCGCGCUUCGCUUCGUUUGUUUCGUUGCUGUGGCUGUCUAACUACACUUUCGAGUCGGCCAGAGUCCCGUGUGGAGAUUAUUCACACCAUAUUACGGCAUGCGGCGGCUUGAGGCGACCGAGGGAGGGGCAUGGCGUGCAGGCGGAGCACAAGGUGUCAGAGGGCCCUGGCCUUCGGCUGGCCCACCUCUUCUCUGUGCUCAUGCGGCACGCGCCUACACCAGCCCCUGCGGCCAGCACGGCUGACGUCGCCGCCUCCGCCCUCGAGGAGGAAGCCUGGCCGCGGCCUGCCUGGACCGAUGCAUGCCGCCCACCCGGGUCUGCGUCUGGCGCCGCUAGCGCCGCAGGUGCCCGAGGAAUGGACGAGCAAAGACAAGGCGGGCCGCUAGCGGCAUGGCUCGAUACCCCAGCAGACGACUUGUCUUCGCCGGCGCGGAUGUAGCCGUGGCGCAACAGAGGGGCGUGUGAGCUGUGCGCGAAUGCGUACAUGUGCCGACUUGCCCGUCGCGGAGUAAGAUUUUUAUAUUUAAAUACGCUGUUUUUCCUGGCAAACACGCGUAGCAGAAACUAGUAAGUGCAGCGGCAUGGCGACGAGUAUACAUAUACACUAUACACAUAUGUCUAUCUGUAUCUAGAGCGCUGCACCGUCAAUCCGUCAAAACGCCACGCACUUUGUUUUCCCCGCCGACCACCGCCCCCUGUGCUCUCCCGAGCGGGCGGAGCGCGUGCGCGUGCGUCCCUCUCUCCUCGCGCUUCUCCGUUGCUUGCUUUUUGCUUUCUGUCAUUAUUGUCUCCGUUCCUCGACUG